rnacentral:rRNA from 1 species
GAUGAACGCUGGCGGCGUGCUUAACACAUGCAAGUCGAACGGAAAGGCCCAAGCUUGCUUGGGUACUCGAGUGGCGAACGGGUGAGUAACACGUGGGUGAUCUGCCCUGCACUUCGGGAUAAGCCUGGGAAACUGGGUCUAAUACCGGAUAGGACCACAUUUUGGAUGGUGUGGUGGAAAGUUUUUCGGUGUGGGAUGAGCUCGCGGCCUAUCAGCUUGUUGGUGGGGUAAUGGCCUACCAAGGCGUCGACGGGUAGCCGGCCUGAGAGGGUGUACGGCCACAUUGGGACUGAGAUAAGGCCCAGACUCCUACGGGAGGCAGAAGUGGGGAAUAUUGCACAAUGGGCGCAAGCCUGAUGCAGCGACGCCGCGUGGGGGAUGACGGCCUUCGGGUUGUAAACUCCUUUCGCUAGGGACGAAGCGUUAUGUGACGGUACCUGGAGAAGAAGCACCGGCUAACUACGUG